rnacentral:ncRNA from 1 species
AGCAGGGGGCUUGGAUGCUGAGAAAUACCCGUAAAACCUGAUCAGGGUAAUACCUGCGGAGGAAUGUCCAUGAAU